CAGUAGCCGCGGGAAUACGUAGGGUGCAAGCGUUGUUCGGAAUCAUUGGGCGUAAAGCGCGUGUAGGUGGUUAUUUAAGUCGAUUGUGAAAUCCCUGGGCUCAACCGAGGAAGUGCAGUCGAAACUGAAUAGCUAGAGGACGGCAGAGGAAGGUGGAAUUCCAAGUGUAGAGGUGAAAUUCGUAGAUAUUUGGAGGAAUACCUGUGGCGAAGGCGGCCUUCUGGACCGGUCCUGACACUGAGACGCGAAAGCGUGGGGAGCAAACAGGAUUAGAUACCCGGGUAGUCCCUGUCUCUUAUAA
rnacentral:rRNA from 1 species